CGCGUGGGAAUCUACCUAGUAGUGGGGGACAACAGUUGGAAACGACUGCUAAUACCGCAUACGCCCUACGGGGGAAAGAGGGGGACCUUUAUGGCCUCUUGCUAUUAGAUGAGCCCGCGUAAGAUUAGCUAGUUGGUGGGGUAAAGGCCUACCAAGGCGACGAUCUUUAGCUGGUCUGAGAGGAUGAUCAGCCACACUGGAACUGAGACACGGUCCAGACUCCUACGGGAGGCAGCAGUGGGGAAUAUUGCACAAUGGGCGCAAGCCUGAUGCAGCCAUGCCGCGUGUGUGAAGAAGGCU
rnacentral:rRNA from 1 species